GAUCUCCAGACACAGGUGAGUUCACGGCAUCAUGGCUUCCACUCAGGUGCUCCUGCUUCAGCUGCUCCUGCUCUCUUUGGCGUCUGCAUCACAUCACUUUGGGGGAACCGCGACCUUCACCUACAAAGGAAGAAACCCUGAUGGAACAUUAAGAGUGGACAUUCGCAGCAGGGCAACCUUUGAUGGGUGUAGGCACCGCCACAGGUGGAACUGUUACACCGGCUCGUGUGGCUCAAUCUCCAGCACUCAGAGCGGCGUACUUGACAGGAGCACCAACGCUCCACAAUAUAACAGGCAAUGGUGUGAAACUGAAACAGUCACUUCAAGAAAUGUCCCGAAUGACAAACCUUUUCAAUUGAGGUGAGCUUUUUGUUAUUUGUUAUGCUUGUAUCAUGAUAAAAGUAUCAGCUGUUAGAUACAGUAUUUGAAGAGUGUUGUUUUCACACAUACCAGGGCAAGAAGCUGUUGUUGGAUCCGAACACGUAACGGGGUUAAUUUUUGGAAUCUACUGACUCAACUGGAUUUGGGAUCAAGAUCUGACACUGGAAAACCAAACAGAUCACCAGAUAUUGCCAUUCUACCUUUCCUACGAGUUCCCCAGAACUGCCAACGGACAUACAAGCUGAUGUCCUCUGACCCUGAUGGCGACAAAGUUCGAUGCAGAUAUGGAAGUAUCAGAAAUAUAGAAUGUUCCAACUGUAACCUACCUUCAGGCUUCGUGUUAGAUCAGGACUCUUGCUUAUUACACUACCGCUACACCAAUGCCAACCCAAGAGUUAAUGCAUUUGAGUUGGUGGUGGAGGACUUCCCACAAAGACCCAUCUCUCUGUCCUACUCUGAUGGAACCCAAUCCCACAAGUCUCCACUGAGUGCAAGGAGGAACAGACGAGCCAUAAACCACGGGUCUACUGCAGCACCAACAACUGUAGCACCAACAACAGCAGCACCAACAACUGCAGCACCAACAACUGUAGCACCAACAACUGUAGCACCAACAACAGCAGCACCAACAACUGUAGCACCAACAACUGUAGCACCAACAACUGUAGCACCAACAACUGCAGCACCAACAACUGUAGCACCAACAACAGCAGCACCAACAACUGUAGCACCAACAACUGUAGCACCAACAACAGCAGCACCAACAACUGUAGCACCAACAACUGUAGCACCAACAACAGCAGCACCAACAACAGCAGCACCAACAACUGUAGCACCAACAACUGUAGCACCAACAACAGCAGCAGCAACAACUGUAGCACCAACAACUGUAGCACCAACAACAGCAGCACCAACAACUGUAGCACCAACAACUGUAGCACCAACAACUGUAGCAGCAACAACUGUAGCACCAACAACAGCAGCACCAACACACCAAUGGUGGUGGUCUACAGCAGCACCAAGAACUGUAGCACCAACACACCAAUGGUGGUGGUUUACUGCAGCACCAACAACAGCAGCACCAACAACUGUAGCACCAACACACCAAUGGUGGUGGUCUACAGCAGCACCAAGAACUGUAGCACCAACACACCAAUGGUGGUGGUUUACUGCAGCACCAACAACAGCAGCACCAACAACUGUAGCACCAACACACCAAUGGUGGUGGUCUACAGCAGCACCAAGAACUGUAGCACCAACACACCAAUGGUGGUGGUUUAAUGCAGCACCAACAACUGUAGCACCAACAACUGUAGCACCAACAACUGCAGCACCACCAUCAGCAGCACUACCCCUGCAUGCCUCCAGUCCUCCUCUCAGUAAAC
rnacentral:lncRNA from 1 species